UCAAUGUAACAGCGGACUUCGGUCCUGUCUGCCACCCUUGUCUUUUGCGUACUGUCUGUUUCCUCGGUAGGCCUGCCUACCGAUAGGACACUAUAAAACCUUUUUUGCAAUUGCAAUCAGCGUCAGAAAAACUAUAAUAGUUA
rnacentral:misc_RNA from 1 species